UACAAGAGUUUCUAACGUAUGUAAAAGGAUGCUGGUGCUCUGACAGACGGCAUGGGACGUUGAUUCAGAGAUGCACCGGAUACAUUCCUACUGUUUCCUGUGACGCCUCUCGCUGCGAUUUCUUCAAAGGAAGCUCCUCUCUUUCUCGGGAUAUUAUGUAUAGAUAUUCGUAUAUUAUUAAUCCACUAAUGAAUAUAAUAAAAUAAUAUAGUUGAACAGGAAGCAACUCAGAUCCCCUGCCCAUUUGCUUUUAAAAUCUCAUCUUUUCCAAUCUUUCUAUUCAUCCUCUGCUCGCAACAUUAAUCCGUGUCUCUGGUUCUCCCUCAGAAAAAUGGAGGACUAGCCCCUAGCUCCCAGUUCCGCUCCCACUCAGACCCGCUUCCAUUUUUCCCGUAAGGUGAUUAAUUAUCCAGGAGGAAUAGUGCUAAGAAAACAUGGCUUUAGGGAAAUAUACUCGGGUAGACAACAGAAGAUCAUCAUCAUCAUCCUACUGCUCGAUGGUGUCUAUUGUCAUUUUUGUGGCGCUUUGUUUGGUUGGGGUUUGGAUGAUGACAUCGUCCUCUGUGGUUCCUGUUCAAAAUGUGGAUGUUCCCGAGGAGAAUAAGGAUGAGGUGAAGGAACAAGUGAGUGAGAGCAAUGGUGGUAAUACUCGGCAAUUUGAGGAUAAUCCAGGCGAUUUGCCCGAGGAUGCAACUAAAGGAGACAUUAAUGUAAAUCCUGAGAGCAGCUCUAACACAGAAGAAACCCAAGAAGAGAAGCCGGAAGAGAAGCCUGAGGAAAGACCUGAAGAGAAUCAGGAGGAAAAGACUGAAGAGAAGCUGGAGGAAAAGCCUGAUGCAAAUGAAGAUACUAAGUCAGACGAUGGAUCAAAUACUGAAGCAGGAGAUGGAGAAAGAAGAACAGAUGAUGAAGAACCAAAUUCAGAUGGUGGGGAGGCAAAAAAGGAUGGAGGUGAUGGUUCUGAGCAAGAAGAUGGUGCUGUUGAGAAAAAAUCUGAUUUGAAUGAGAAUGAGAAUAAAUCAGAGAACUCGGAUGAAACCAAGGAUGGAGAAAAGGUGGGUGGUCGGGUAGAGGAGAAGGUGGAGCAAAAUGAGAAGAAGGAAUCGGAUGGAAACUCCAGCGAGAAAAAGGAAAACGAUCAGCCCCAAGACCAGAGUUUAAACGAGGUAUUUCCUUCUGGUGCUCAAUCAGAGAUUUUGAAUGAAACUACCACCCAAAGUGGGGCUUGGUCAACUCAAGCGACGGAGUCAAAGAAUGAGAAAGACUUUCAAAAGUCUUCCGCGCAACAGACCAUCUACGAUUGGAAACUUUGCAAUGUCACUGCUGGGCAUGAUUACAUCCCAUGCCUUGACAAUUGGCAAGCAAUUAGAAGUCUUAGAAGUACUAAGCAUUAUGAGCAUCGAGAGAGGCAGUGUCCUGAGGAAGCCCCCACUUGCCUUGUUUCUCUUCCUGAAGGAUAUAGGCGCCCAAUUGAGUGGCCUAAUAGCAGGGAAAAGAUCUGGUACCAUAAUGUUCCCCACCCCAAGCUUGCGCAAGUUAAGGGACAUCAGAAUUGGGUGAAAGUAACUGGUGAAUAUCUCACUUUUCCCGGUGGUGGAACCCAAUUUAAGCAUGGUGCUCUUCAUUACAUUGACUUCAUACAGGAUUCUGUGCCUGAUGUUGCCUGGGGAAAACGCUCCCGUGUUAUAUUGGAUGUUGGAUGUGGAGUUGCUAGCUUUGGAGGUUAUCUAUUUGAUAGAAAUGUGCUUGCUAUGUCAUUUGCCCCAAAGGAUGAACAUGAAGCCCAAGUGCAAUUUGCACUUGAAAGGGGAAUUCCCGCUAUAUCUGCUGUGAUGGGCACGAAGAGACUUCCAUUUCCUGACCGAGUUUUUGAUAUUGUCCAUUGUGCACGCUGUAGGGUUCCAUGGCACAUAGAAGGUGGUAAACUUCUUUUGGAGCUGAAUCGUCUGUUGCGUCCUGGUGGUUUCUUUGUCUGGUCUGCUACUCCUGUAUAUCAGAAGCUUCCUGAAGAUGUUGGAAUAUGGAAUGAGAUGAAGGAAUUAACAAAAGCAAUGUGCUGGGAACUAGUUUCAAUCAGCAAUGAUACAGUAGAUCGAGUUGGUGCAGCUGUAUUUAAGAAGCCUACUUCUAAUGAGUGCUAUGAGAAAAGAUCACAAAGUGAGCCUCCUAUCUGCCCAGAGUCCGAUGAUCCUGAUGCAGCCUGGAAUGUGCCAUUGCAAGCGUGCAUGCACAAAGUGCCUGCAGAUGCAUCAGAGCGCGGUUCUCAAUGGCCAGAGCAAUGGCCAGCUAGGUUGGAAAAACCACCUUACUGGUUAUUGAGUUCCCAGGUCGGAGUUUAUGGUAAACCUGCUCCUGAGGAUUUCACUGCUGACUAUGAGCACUGGAAACGAGUGGUGACCAAAUCAUAUCUUAAAGGGAUGGGGAUUAACUGGUCAAAUGUGAGGAAUGUCAUGGACAUGAGAUCUGUGUAUGGAGGAUUUGCUGCAGCUUUGAAAGAUUUAAACAUUUGGGUCAUGAAUGUAGUCUCCAUAGACUCCCCAGAUACCCUACCCAUAAUUUAUGAACGAGGUCUAUUUGGUAUAUAUCACGAUUGGUGCCAAUCAUUUAGCACGUACCCUAGGUCCUAUGAUCUUCUCCAUGCUGACCAUCUGUUCUCCAAGAUUAAACAGAGGUGUAAGUUAGUUUCUGUAGUUGUGGAGGUUGAUCGGAUCCUCAGGCCAGAGGGGAAGCUUAUUGUUCGUGACAAUGUUGAGACCAUUAAUGAAAUUGAGAACAUGCUGAAGUCUAUGCAUUGGGAGGUCCGUUUGACCUACUCUAAGGACAACGAGGGAUUGUUGUGUGUUCAGAAGUCCAUGUGGCGACCUAACGAAUCAGAGACAAUCAAGUAUGCAAUCGCUUAAGCGUGAACAAAUCACUUCCUGAACUACCAUUGUUGAGGUCAUAACCCCAAAGAGUGCAUGUCAAAGGGGCAAACUUUAGUCGCAACAAAGUAAAAGGAUUCCAAAAUCAUAGAGGAUGCAAUUUCUGAUCCAAUUAGUUCAUACUUCAUAUUCCCUGCUUUGAUGGUGCUGUUUAGUUGAAAUUGUGUAUGGCAGUACACAAGUUCUUGAUGGGGCUUAAAUCUGAUUGUCUCACUUCUGGUGACGAAACCAGAUACAAGAAAGGCAUUCUUUUAAGGGUGUUCAAUAUACUAACAAUCAAGAAAUGUACCCCCUUUCUCUUCUCCUUCUCUUUUUCUUUUGAGUGUGAGAAAUGAGUUUUGCUAUAUACAAGUACAGUCGUGUAUUAAUCUGUGUAUCAAUAUUAACUCAUAUUUAAAAUUUAAA